rnacentral:sRNA from 1 species
CAGGGGAUUGCAGUGGCAAAGCUAGGCUAGGUCUUGGAGGCUGGUGUAAGGCGAUGCGGGUGAAGGCAGGAGGCUGAUGGAAAGACUGGGGGGAAGAAAAGCCGAAAUGGAUUCACGGUGCCUUGGAUGAAGGACGAGAGGGGAACUGCAAGCUCCUUCAACUGGUUCUGUCCGGUGAGAAGUGAUCAAGCUUGGGCUGACAAGAGGCUCAGGGAGCCCUCACGUUCUUUCGCUUUUUUACCUGCCAAUCAAACUGCUACAAGACAACACCCUGAUCUGGCAUGGACAUCGCGGGUCCAAGCCUGUAGCCCCAAAUCGGAUAAUCUCUGCAGCUGAUAACAAGCAAAAGAGAAGCCAGGCAACAGCCAUAUUAAAGAAGAAAACAAUCAACUCUGAGGAUGGCUGCCAGGGAAUAGAUGAAAGGCAGAAGUGGCGAUGGGUGACUGAUGUGGCACACUUAUGAAGAAAAGCCUCUUUUUCCAUGCUUGUUUUUCCUCCCCAAAGAGCCAACAGAGUUUCUGUUCUCCAACUCUGCUCUUCACCUUACCGGAGUCAUUGCAGUCACCUGGAGUCGCGGAAAUGACCAUGAUUGCCUGAACUUUCAUAACUUCU